GCAUAUCAAUAAGCGGAGGAAAAGAAACCAACCGGGAUUGCCUCAGUAACGGCGAGUGAAGCGGCAAGAGCUCAAAUUUGAAAGCUGGCCCCUCCGGGGUCCGCGUUGUAAUUUGCAGAGGAUGCUUCGGGCUCAGCCCCCGUCUAAGUGCCCUGGAACGGGCCGUCGGAGAGGGUGAGAAUCCCGUCUGGGACGGGGUGCCUGGGUCCAUGUGAAGCUCCUUCGACGAGUCGAGUUGUUUGGGAAUGCAGCUCUAAAUGGGUGGUAAAUUUCAUCUAAAGCUAAAUACUGGCCGGAGACCGAUAGCGCACAAGUAGAGUGAUCGAAAGAUGAAAAGCACUUUGAAAAGAGAGUUAAACAGCACGUGAAAUUGUUGAAAGGGAAGCGCUUGCGAUCAGACUCGCCUGCGGGGUUCAGCCGGCAUUCGUGCCGGUGUACUUCCCCGUGGGCGGGCCAGCGUCGGUUCGGGUGGCCGGUCAAAGGCCCCGGGAAUGUGUCGCCCUCCGGGGCGUCUUAUAGCCCGGGGUGCCAUGCGGCCUACCUGGACCGAGGAACGCGCUUCGGCUCGGACGCUGGCGUAAUGGUCGUAAGCGACCCGUCUUGAAACACGGACCAAGGAGUCUAACAUCUACGCGAGUGUUUGGGUGGCAAACCCAUACGCGCAGUGAAAGCGAACGGAGGUGGGAACCCUUCGGGGCGCACCAUCGACCGAUCCUGAUGUCUUCGGAUGGAUUUGAGUAAGAGCGUAGCUGUGGGGACCCGAAAGAUGGUGAACUAYGCCUSAAUAGGGCGAAGCCMGMGGAMACUCUGSUGGAGGCUCGCAGCGGUUCUGMCGUSCAAAUCGAUCGUCAACAWYUUSGGUMUAGGGGCGMAMGMCUAAUCGAACCAUCUGGUAGCUGGUUCCUGCCGA
rnacentral:rRNA from 1 species